AGUGAACGCUGGCGGCGUGCCUAAUACAUGCAAGUCGAACGAAGUGGCGCACGGGUGAGUAAUAUAUAGUUAAUCUGCCCUACACAGAGGAACAACAGUUGGAAACGGCUGCUAAUACCACAUAGCAAGGGAUGAGACUAUAUCGUAUCAGCUAGUCGGUGGGGUAACGGCCUACCGAGGCUAUGACGCGUAACUGGUCUGAGAGGAUGAUCAGUAAAAUUGGAACUGAGACACGGGUCAAAAUCCUUCCGGAAGGAGCAGUAGGGAAAUGUGCGCAAGGGGGGAAACCCUGGAGGAGCAACGGCGCGUGGAGGAUUACAAUUUUCGGGGCGGAAACUCCUUUUGUUAGGGAAACGGUACCUUACGAAUAAGCACCGGCUAACUCCGUGCCAGCAGCCGCGGUAAUAC
rnacentral:rRNA from 1 species